AUGCUUAUUUUAGCAGCACAUGUACUAAAAUUGAAACAAUACAGUGAAGAUCAGCAUGGCCCUUGUUUAAGAAUGACAUGCACAUUCAUAAAGCUUUCUAUAUUUUU